rnacentral:lncRNA from 1 species
GUCUUUGCCUAUUUAUUUAUAAGCCACAGAAGAUUAAGAAUGAAGGAGGGGAGUAUGUGCAAAGAACCAUCAUACUUAAUUCCCACCUCUUCAAACUGCUAGAGCCACAGACAAUCCUGGAAUACCCCAAAAGAGAGGAGGAUUCCAUGCUGCUGCUCCGCCAUGCUUCACACCAAUCAAUAAGAAGUGUUUCCAGCUGUAUCUACGAAAUGUCUCUCCAGAAUCACUGACAAUUCGGUUCACAUCAUAUGGCAAUUAGAUAAUUUUCUGAUGACUUUUAACUUACCUCCUCUCUUUUGACUUCUCCCUACACCAUAUCAGUGUCCAAAGUGUUGCCAAAACCACUUCGAAAAUGCACAUCUGUUUCUGUCUCUCCCUUAUAUUAUGCCUUCAAAUCAUGACUUCUUAAAAUGAUAUAAGGA